UAACAAGGAUUCCCCUAGUAACUGCGAGUGAAGAGGGAAAAGCUCAAAUUUAAAAUCUGGCGGUUUUGGCCGUCCGAGUUGUAGUCUGGAGAAGUGCUUUCCGCGCUGGACCGUGUACAAGUCUCUUGGAACAGAGCGUCGUAGAGGGUGAGAAUCCCGUCUUUGACACGGACUACCAGUGCUUUGUGAUGCGCUCUCGAAGAGUCGAGUUGUUUGGGAAUGCAGCUCAAAAUGGGUGGUGAAUUCCAUCUAAAGCUAAAUAUUGGCGAGAGACCGAUAGCGAACAAGUACCGUGAGGGAAAGAUGAAAAGCACUUUGGAAAGAGAGUUAAACAGUACGUGAAAUUGCUGAAAGGGAAACGCUUGAAGUCAGUCGCGUCGGCCGGAACUCAGCCUUGCCUCGGCUUGGUGCAUUUUCCGGUUGACGGGCCAGCAUCGAUUUUGGUCGGCGGACAAAGGCUUGAGGAAUGUGGCACCUUCGGGUGUGUUAUAGCCUCGGGUUGCAUACGUCGGUCGGGAUCGAGGAACUCAGCUUCGGCUUAGGAUGCUGGCGUAAUGGCUUUAAACGACCC
rnacentral:rRNA from 1 species